UCCCAACACACUGAACUAUUUAUUCUGCCUAAUUUAUGACCUCCACAGCAAGAGAGACCCCCACUCCAAAAACCAACACUGUUGUAUAUUUAAUUAAUCUGUCUUUCUCUGGCACUUGGGAAAGUUAGACAAAGGUCUAAUUAUUGUGUGUCGCUCCCCACACUUUUCUUUUUGGGGUGACUAUUUGCAUGGGAAAAGAAACGGCGAGGCUGGGCGCGAGUCCCCUCCCUCCAAAACACCUUUUUUUUCCCCCCUGCCCUAUUGACAUUUCAUGAAAUACUUUAGCUGCUUAAGGGAAUUAGAAAAAAAAAAAAAUCUGAUGUGAAUGUAACUCCUUCGGAGUUGGUAUUCAGUAACACAAAUCAACUCAUGACAUGUUUAAAUUUAAAUGCUAACCACACACUCUGCGAGUUACUUUAAAGCCUCCUAUACACGUCUAAGUCUUCCAGGAUUAGGGCUGAAGAGCACCAUUGUUCCUCUGGAGCACCUGUGAAACUUCUCUGCGAGGGAGAGGAGACCUCCGGCCUCAAAUGAAAACGUCUAGGAAGCGUAUUAGGCACUUGGAGACCCGAUAGCUGGGAUCUAUCAAGGGUUUUUUUUCAUGAUUAGGGAGCUUAGAAUGGAAAAAAAGAAGCCUGGAUCCCUACAUUUAGACGGCUGAGUACUGUUCUCCCAGCGAGUUUAGAGCUAAAUGAACCCACUGGAGCUAAAGGUCCUGCUCACUAAAAUUGCUGCACGGUUGUCGGUGCCACUGCGAGUCUGUAUUGUCCUGCCGAGCAUCUCGCUGUCCUUCUCCAGCGCUCAAGGUGAAACAUCAGAAAGAAUUCUGCAGUCCGGUACGAGAUCUUUGCUUCCCUUUCUCCAGUCAAAUGAAGAAGUAAUCUCAUCAGGUUGAAAAGUGCUGACUAAGGAUUUAAUAAAGUGCCUGCAGAUGUGUGUCAUCUCUAAGGUAUUCAACUCAUGUAAUGCAAAACAGUUCCACACUG